rnacentral:rRNA from 1 species
GAUGAACGCUGGCGGCGUGCUUAACACAUGCAAGUCGAACGGAAAGGCCCAAGCUUGCUUGGGUACUCGAGUGGCGAACGGGUGAGUAACACGUGGGUGAUCUGCCCUGCACUUCGGGAUAAGCCUGGGAAACUGGGUCUAAUACCGGAUAGGACCACAUUUUGGAUGGUGUGGUGGAAAGUUUUUCGGUGUGGGAUGAGCUCGCGGCCUAUCAGCUUGUUGGUGGGGUAAUGGCCUACCAAGGGGUCGACGGGUAGCCGGCCUGAGAGGGUGUACGGCCACAUUGGGACUGAGAUACGGCCCAGACUCCUACGGGAGGGAGGAGUGGGGAAUAUUGGACAAUGGGGGCAAGCCUGAUGCAGCGACGCCGCGUGGGGGAUGACGGCCUUCGGGUUGUAAACCCCUUUCGCUAGGGACGAAGCGUUUUUGUGACGGUACCUGGAGAAGAAGCACCGGCUAACUACGCG